GGUAGCCAGUUGCAGUCUGUGGCCUCCCUCAGAGGUUUGGAGUCGGGUGUGGCGUGCUGCUGUUGGCCUCUUUCCGAGGGAGUGCCAUCCACUCCCUGUCCCACCGCCGUCCGCGGCAAGGACAGUAAGGGCAGUGCUACGUGGUGGGGAGGUGUGUGUGAAGUCACGGAAGAGCUUCACAGGGCAGAUGCCAAGGCCAGUGGGCCCCGGACAGAGUCAGGCUCCCUGGGCGGCCCUGCGUCUUGGUGGCCCUGGUCAACCUGCCGAUGCAAAAAGCCAGCAGGCAAGAGACCCCUACUCCCUUUAAGGACCAGAGCAGAAACAAACCAUUGUGUUGAAUGCAGUGAUCCAGGUGCACUUCAGCGUACAAGCUGGACUGCUUCGAACAGGAUUACAGGAAAGGGGGAAGGGGGCAGCUGUCUCUUGGGACAUGAGUAAUGUCUCUUACCCAGUUGGCACUUGAGAAGUCAACGGGGCACGUCUCUGGGGCCUCCUGGAAAAGUGGUGUUUUCCAACACAGAGGAGAAAGCUGUGGCUGGAGGUAGGGGUGUGGUCAGCUUGCCUGAGGUUCCUCAGGGGCAUAGGAGGGGCAAGAGGGGAUACCUCUAAGUCCUUGCAGCUCAGAAUGUUCUGAGGACCCCCAGCGCUGGGUUCAUCCAGGAGAAGUUUAGGAAGGCAGAGUCACAGGCUGCCACCCCAGACCCCCCGAAUGCAAAAUUUCAGCAAGACGGCCAGAUGAUCCUCAGAGUCUGCUACUUAUUAAACUUACCUGGGGAACUUAAAAAAGAAAAAAAAAAAAUCCUAGUGCCCAGACCUCACCUAUAGCAAUCAGAACCUCUGGGGUGGGGCUCAGGCUUCAGAAUGAUUUUCCAGCUGUCCAGGGGAGGGGGCAGGGAUUUCCAUGAGUAGCUAGGUCUGAGAGCCUCGGUUGUAAGCCUCUGCCUCCCCUCUUUCGCCUAUUCCGCACUGUAGGAUUUCAAAAGGAUCCCUCUCCAGUGUCCCACUACUCUCUCUCCCCAAUCCCUGCGAUUAUUACAUUGGCAGAAUUUAGGCUUCACGGGGACAGGGUGAAGAGUCAAGACUGAGUCAAGAUAAAAUGUGCAUCCCCCAUGGAGGGGUAACACUGAAGCUACAUCCAUUCAGGCGGAAUCAGAGGUUUCUGGCUGACUCGGUGGGUGCUUUGUACCAGGAAAGACAAGAAAGAGGAUGGGAAGGAGGACUGAUCCACGUUCCCACCAGGAAGCUUAGUGGAACCCCCGUAUGCCACCUGGACCCCCUGGAAGGACCUGGCCAAGGCUGAACCACCUCUUGAGAGGCAAGAGCUCCAAAUUUGAUCAGAAAUUCUUGGCUGGGCAUGGUGCCUCAUGCCUAUAAUCCCAACACUUUGGGAAACCGAGGUGGGAGGAUCGCUUGAGCCUGGGAGUUCAAGACCAGCCUGGGCAACAUAAGGAGACCCCAUCUCUAAAGAAUAGUAAUAAUAAAAUAAAAAAUUAGCAGGGCAUGGUGCCAUGUGCCUGUAGUCCCAGCUACCCAGGAGGCUGAGGCAAGAGGAUGGCUGGAGCCUGGGAUGUUGAGGCUGCAAUGAACUGUGAUUACCCCACUGCACUCCAGCCUGGGCAACAGAGCGAGAGACCCUGUCUCAAAAUAAUACUAAUAAUAAUCUUAUUUUGGAGAAUAAAGAAACCUCUGGAUUUGAGGAGCCGUUUGGGUAGAAAGCAAAGACCUUCACAAUGAGAAAUAGUCUGUGUUGACCUGAAGGAGCAGAGGGAUGCAUCGCUGGAGGUGACCUACAGUUGGAGAAGACUCAUUAUGCCAGACCUUGUCCUUCUUCCUUGUGGAAAAUGUUUCCUCUGCUGCUGCUGCUCAUUAGACUCUUCCCCCUCCCUGUCUCAGGCAACCAAAGGGCUUUCUACCACACCCUUUCUUGCCCCCCGCCUCCCAUGUCUGCUGUGCCUUUGUACUCAGCAAUUCUUGUUUGCUCCAUUAUCUUCCAGCCGGAUACAGAGUGAAUAGUUAACCACACUUAGGUCAAAUAGGAUCUGAAUUUUUGUUCCUGCUCCGUCUAAAGAGGCCAGUGUUUGUGCGUUACAAGCAGCCUUGGAAUAUUAACUCUUCUCAUUUGUUUGGGAUCUCAUUGUAUUCCUCAGCCAUCAAGUUCCAGAAUGAUACACGGAUCAGUGCAGAAGUUCAUCAGGCUCUCGGACCUUAGGGCUGUUGGAGAAGUCUUCAGCAGGGGAACUGAUGGUGAAGGCUGGUGUUCUCCAUCCUCAACUUUCUUUGCUUGGAUCACACAUAAGUAUACAUUUGGAAGGGCAAAAAAUGAACACUGUUGUUCACUGCAGCCGUGUUUUGUGACACAGAUGCACAGUCUGCUGUGAAGACCUUCUCGCAAGUGGCAGUUGGGGGAUCCAUGCCAGAUCAUGGUGCUUCGUGACAGACUAACAGCUACCAGGGAUGGUGGCACUUAGUGAGGACCCUCCUCCCCCAGUGUGUGCUGAUGACACAUACACACCUGACAAUAGCUUGAGUCUUCUCUGUUCUUUUUUACUCUGUGGCCACCAUACACAUGAUUUAAAACCCUUCCUAAAUAUCUAUCAUGGUUCACCCUUGUCCAAAUGCAGAGUCAAAGCUACUUGUACUUUAUUAUUAUUUCCAAGGCAAAUAGAUGGCUUGCUUUUUACAAAAAGAAUUAAAGCUUUUGUAUGUUGCAGUUG